rnacentral:rRNA from 1 species
GGGUUGUGAGGUUAAGCGACUAAGCGUACACGGUGGAUGCCCUGGCAGUCAGAGGCGAUGAAGGACGUGCUAAUCUGCGAUAAGCGUCGGUAAGGUGAUAUGAACCGUUAUAACCGGCGAUUUCCGAAUGGGGAAACCCAGUGUGAUUCGUCACACUAUCAUUAACUGAAUCCAUAGGUUAAUGAGGCGAACCGGGGGAACUGAAACAUC